ACAGCUCAGGGCCCAACAACUGCCCUGCUGCCCCUGGGGUCUGCUGCCGUGUGGCUUGAGAUGUUCAUUGAGCAAGGCACUGGGGACCCUUUAACGAGGAGGAGGGCAAUGUCCAUGCCCUGCAGAGUGGAGGCAGAGACCUCUUCCUGUAGGUAGAAAGAAGGGGAGACGAAGGCCAGAAGGUUCGAUGUGUGGGAAGUGCAGGGAGCCAUCAGCAGCAGGCCUCUCUUCUCUGCACCUCACACUUUGAUGAUCCCACAUGAUGGAGAAGAAGGCUCGCGAGCUCUGGAUCUGCAAACAUGCCUUCCUGCAUGGGCCGUUCCCUAGUUCCACGGCAGACAUCACUAGUUAAUAAGGCAUGCUCUGGCAUUGCCCAUCCAUCAGACUUCAGAAUCGCUCUUAGCACACAGGUCUUAUCGCAGCGAGGGGUCUACAGGAAGUGCUGUGGGAAGGCGGGCUCACACAGCAGGACUGAGCAGUUCUCGGCAUGGGAUGGGCAGCUGUCCGGGAAGAAGGGUGGUGCUGGCCUGGUGGAGACGUUGGACCGUUGGACCGCCCUCGGAUGGAAGUCUCAAAGCGGGGGAGGAGGGUCUGUGGGAAGUGCGCUGCUUCACCUGUGCCCUGGGAGUUCCCGCUCAUCAGGGACAGCGCUGGGGUUAGUCUGCCCUGAAGUGAGAGUGUAGGACACGUGGACACAGGUGUCACUGGACAGCAGAGCUUGUGGGAUGCUCCAGAGACGGCGAUUUGUCACCAGAUGCAUGGAGGGAGACAAUGUAGCAUCAGAAGACUGCUUACAUCUGGGGAUUUUGGUCUUUCAAAGUGACGAGUUCAUUACCCACCUGUACCAGCAGAGAUGUCUUCAGGGACCUCGUGUGGACCAGAAACCA